GGGGGUAUAGCUCAGCUGGGAGAGCAGCAGACUGAAGCUAAAUGUCACAAACAACGUUUGGUGUUCUGAAGGUCCCGCGUUCGAUCCGCGGUACCCCCA